UACGGAAGGCAGCAGGGGGAAUAUUGCACAAUGGGCGCAAGCCUGAUGCAGCCAUGCCGCGUGUAUGAAGAAGGCCUUCGGGUUGUAAAGUACUUUCAGUCGUGAGGAAGGUGUUAAGGUUAAUAACCUUAGCAAUUGACGUUAGCGACAGAAGAAGCACCGGCUAACUCCGUGCCAGCAGCCGCGGUAAUACGGAGGGUGCGAGCGUUAAUCGGAAUUACUGGGCGUAAAGGGCACGCAGGCGGUUAAUUAAGUUGGAUGUGAAAUCCCCGGGCUUAACCUGGGAAUGGCAUUCAAGACUGGUUAGCUAGAGUCUUGUAGAGGGGGUAGGAAUUCCAUGUGUAGCGGUGAAAUGCGUAGAGAUGUGGAGGAAUACCGGUGGCGAAGGCGGCCCCUCGGCAAAGACUGACGCUCAUGUGCGAAAGCGUGGGGA
rnacentral:rRNA from 1 species